rnacentral:rRNA from 1 species
UACGUAGGGUCCGAGCGUUGUCCGGAAUUAUUGGGCGUAAAGAGCUCGUAGGCGGUUUGUCGCGUCUGCUGUGAAAUCCCGAGGCUCAACCUCGGGUCUGCAGUGGGUACGGGCAGACUAGAGUGCGGUAGGGGUGACUGGAAUUCCUGGUGUAGCGGUGGAAUGCGCCAGAUAUCAGGGAGGAACACCCGAUGGCGAAAGGCAGAUC